CUCAUAUACGUGUAUGUGCACAUGAAUGUAUACGAGAAGCCAACCAGCUACACUCCUCACCAAAUUCAUGACCUGCAAGAAACAGCAAACAGAACUUGUACUCAGUACUUAUGUACUUAUGUACUUAUGUAGCCCUUUUGUGAUGUAGUGACGCGCGUUUCCACUGCAGGGUGCGGAACAGCAGGAAGACAUCGGAGAGGGGACGGGCAGAGAAACGAAACUACACGAACAGAAAUGGAGGUCGAUCAACGUAUCAUCGUCGCCGUGUGCGGCCGUCCUGUCCUGUACGACACCACGAUGGUGUCGUACAGGGACAGGAACAAAACAGAGAGGGCGUGGGUCGACGUGGCAGAGGAUAUUGGCGUUCCUGUGGACGUAUGUCGCAGGAGGUGGAAGUCACUCAGGGACAGGUACAUGAGAUACAAAAGGAAUGAAAAGGAGGGGAAAAAGAGCGGGUCAGCGGCAGGGAGAGUGGACACGUGGAGAUUUGCUAGGGUCCUGUCCUUCCUCGACCCCUUUGUCACCCCGAGGGAGACCAGCAGCAAUUUACCUCUGGGGGCAGAGGAGGUUGAGGGGGACGGGGCUCCAGAAACUCCACUGUCAGGGGCAGGAGAAGAUGAGGAGCUUGAGCAGGCAGCAGCAUCGCACAAUACAGACCAGCCCAGCAGUGAGUCUGAUGUAGAGGACGCUGAUGCUGCUCCUGCUCCUGCUCCUGCCCCUGUCCCUGCCGCUGGCCCUUCCCAUGUACCUGUCCCUGAGGCUGCCCCUGCCCCAAGACCACAGGGCGCGACGAAGAGGAAGAGAGCAGCCAGGGUACCGGAGGGGAAUAAUGUCCAGACAGCCAUCCUCCAGGCCCUGCAGAGGCAUAAUUCUGUCCCUACCCCUACCCCCCUUUCUGGGAAUGAGCACUUUGCCAUGGGCCUAGUUCCUUCCCUGGAUAGAUUGCCACCUGAAGUACUGGAGCACGUUAAAUUCCAA
ensembl:lncRNA